CAGCAAUGUUCUGAGAUGUAGCUAUGAAUGGUAAGCAGGCCAUUAAACGACAGAAUCUUGGAAUUAAAUUGCUUUUAUAUCUAAAAUAUGCUAUGCUAUGCUAUUACAGGUGCUACCAAGACA